GCAUAUCAAUAAGCGGAGGAAAAGAAACCAACAGGGAUUGCCCUAGUAACGGCGAGUGAAGCGGCAACAGCUCAAAUUUGAAAUCUGGCUUCGGCCCGAGUUGUAAUUUGUAGAGGAAGCUUUAGGCGCGGCACCUUCUGAGUCCCCUGGAACGGGGCGCCAAAGAGGGUGAGAGCCCCGUAUAGUUGGAUGCCUAGCCUGUGUAAAGCUCCUUCGACGAGUCGAGUAGUUUGGGAAUGCUGCUCAAAAUGGGAGGUAAAUUUCUUCUAAAGCUAAAUACCGGCCAGAGACCGAUAGCGCACAAGUAGAGUGAUCGAAAGAUGAAAAGCACUUUGAAAAGAGGGUUAAAUAGCACGUGAAAUUGUUGAAAGGGAAGCGCUUGUGACCAGACUUGCGCCAGGCUGAUCAUCCGGUGUUCUCACCGGUGCACUCUGCCCGGCGCAGGCCAGCAUCGGUUCUCGCGGGGGGAUAAAGGCUCCGGGAACGUAGCUCCUCCGGGAGUGUUAUAGCCCGGGGCGUAAUGCCCUCGCGGGGACCGAGGACCGCGCAUCUUGCAAGGAUGCUGGCGUAAUGGUCACCAGCGACCCGUCUUGAAACACGGACCAAGGAGUCAAGGUUUUGCGCGAGUGUUUGGGUGUAAAACCCGCACGCGUAAUGAAAGUGAACGUAGGUGAGAGCUUCGGCGCAUCAUCGACCGAUCCUGAUGUAUUCGGAUGGAUUUGAGUAGGAGCGUUAAGCCUUGGACCCGAAAGAUGGUGAACUAUGCUUGGAUAGGGUGAAGCCAGAGGAAACUCUGGUGGAGGCUCGCAGCGGUUCUGACGUGCAAAUCGAUCGUCAAAUCUGAGCAUGGGGGCGAAAGACUAAUCGAACCAUCUAGUAGCUGGUUACCGCCGAAGUU
rnacentral:rRNA from 1 species